rnacentral:rRNA from 1 species
GUUGAACGCUGGCGGCAUGCUUUACACAUGCAAGUCGAACGGUAACAGGCCGCAAGGUGCUGACGAGUGGCGAACGGGUGAGUAAUGCAUCGGAACGUGCCCAGUCGUGGGGGAUAACGCAGCGAAAGCUGCGCUAAUACCGCAUACGAUCUCUGGAUGAAAGCGGGGGACCGAAAGGCCUCGCGCGAUUGGAGCGGCCGAUGUCAGAUUAGGUAGUUGGUGGGGUAAAGGCCCACCAAGCCAACGAUCUGUAGCUGGUCUGAGAGGACGACCAGCCACACUGGGACUGAGACACGGCCCAGACUCCUACGGGAGGCAGCAGUGGGGAAUUUUGGACAAUGGGCGCAAGCCUGAUCCAGCAAUGCCGCGUGCAGGAAGAAGGCCUUCGGGUUGUAAACUGCUUUUGUACGGAACGAAACGCUCCGGGUUAAUACCCUGGGCUAAUGACGGUACCGUAAGAAUAAGCACCGGCUAACUACGUGCCAGCCGCCGCGGUAACAC